AUGCACUCUGGCGGCGUGCCUCAUACAUGCAAGUCGCGCGAACAGACGAGGAGCUUGCUCCUCUGACGUUAGCGGCGGACGGGUGAGUAACACGUGGAUAACCUACCUAUAAGACUGGGAUAACUUCGGGAAACCGGAGCUAAUACCGGAUAAUAUAUUGAACCGCAUGGUUCAAUAGUGAAAGACGGUUUUGCUGUUACUUAUAGAUGGAUCCGCGCCGCAUUAGCUAGUUGGUAAGGUAACGGCUUACCAAGGCAACGAUGCGUAGCCGACCUGAGAGGGUGAUCGGCCACACUGGAACUGAGACACGGUCCAGACUCCUACGGGAGGCAGCAGUAGGGAAUCUUCCGCAAUGGGCGAAAGCUUGACGGAGCAACGCCGCGUGAGUGAUGAAGGUCUUCGGAUCGUAAAACUCUGUUAUUAGGGAAGAACAAAUGUGUAAGUAACUAUGCACGUCUUGACGGUACCUAAUCAGAAAGCCACGGCUAACUACGUG
rnacentral:rRNA from 1 species